GACGAACGCUGGCGGCGUGCCUAAUACAUGCAAGUUGAGCGCUGAAGGUUGGUACUUGUACCAACUGGAUGAGCAGCGAACGGGUGAGUAACGCGUGGAGAAUCUGCCUUUGAUCGGGGGACAACAUCUGGAAACGAAUGCUAAUACCGCAUAAUAACUUUAAACACAAGUUUUAAGUUUGAAAGAUGCAAUUGCAUCACUCAAAGAUGAUCCCGCGUUGUAUUAGCUAGUUGGUGAGGUAAAGGCUCACCAAGGCGAUGAUACAUAGCCGACCUGAGAGGGUGGUCCGGCACAAUGGGAAUGAGGACAGGCCCAAACCCCUACGGGGGGGCGCAGUAGGGGAUCUUCGGCAAAGGACGAAAGUCUGGCCGAGGAAAGCCGGGUGAGUGAAGGAGGGUUUCGGGUCGUAAAACUCUGUUGGUAGAGAAGAAAGAUGGGGAGAGUGGAAAGCUCAUCAAGUGACGGUAACUAAACAGAAAGCGACGGCUAACUACGUG
rnacentral:rRNA from 1 species